rnacentral:sRNA from 1 species
CUACCAGCUCUCAAGUGUGAAGUAUUUUAUUCACAGAACAGGUACAGACAGGCAGUAGCAGUGCAUGUUUCCGUACCCUGGUUUGUCUGUCUGCCUCAGCACCAAACUGGAGAAACUUUUUGGUUAGAAACUAGUUCAGACAUACUGCAGUGCCACCAACUCUUGCC